UCAUGUAAUGAAGCCAAAAGAUGGGGUUUGGAGAAGUUCUGGGCUGGUGAACGCGUGGAGAUCUUGAGAGAGUGGCACCCUCAGAGAGCAAGGGAGCUCCGCGCUCCGUCUCCAUACCUUGCCAUAUGCAUCUCUUUCAUCUUAGGCCCAGCUCUAAACCUAGUGAUUCUGCUAUUGCUACAAGUUUGAGAAACCGGUGCACAGUACAGCUCAGCACUUAUGGCAUUGCAUAAUGAUGCUUAGGUGGCCAGGGGUGCUCUGCCUGGGGUGGCUCAACCGCUGACACCCUGCUAGUGUUUCAUAAUAUCCCAACUCCAGGAGACAGAAAUUGAAGGACCCCAAAUCAAGAGUGCCUUUAUUUCCAGUUCAAAUACUCAAGGUCGGUGCCGCCCUCCGCAAGUCACAGCCACGCCAUGCACCUCCUUUUCCUCACCUAUAAAAUGAAAAGGCUAAAGGAGAUGAUGUCGUUAAG